AUUCCCCAGAGCAGCACCGGCUGCUCCAGUAUUGGCAGUUGGAGCAAGAGCUGAGGGCAGUAAUGAGAAGAGCCAGUCAUACUUAUCAUAUUCAGCUUUCACAAAGCAAAAAGUUAUGGAAUGGAAAAAUCAUAGGAUCCCUGAAAAGGAUGAAGCUCUAUUACUUCAUAUGCUAGACUCUGGAAAACCCCCUGAAGUUGUGGCUGAUGCCUUGUCCACCACUGUGUCCUUCCUUGGUGCCUGACAUGGAGCCUAGUGCCAAGCAGAACCUUAAAUGUUUGGUUGAAUUAAUGAAUAAAAAUGUUUGGAGGGGUCAAACACAGCUCUAGGUAUUAAGCACUGUAAACUUUAGAAGUAUGAUCCUGGUGAUUUACUCUCCAUAUUGGUGGAUAUCAUUAUCAUUGAGCAUUUAUUUGUGUAACUACUUAUUACAUAGUUAGAAGAAAGGGAAGAUGAGGUUAGGACUUUAUGAAAGUCAGUGGUCAGAUGCUGAUGAAAGAAAUUGAAGAUGACACAAACAGAUGGAAAGAUAUACUGUGCUCUUGGAUUGGAAGAAUCAAUAUUGUUAAAAUGACUAUACUACCCAAGGCAAUCAACAAAUUCAAUGCAAUCCUAAUCAAAUUACCAAUGGCAUUUUCCACAGAACUAGAACAAAAAAAAUUUUAAAUUUUAUACAAACACAAGAGACCCAAAGAAAUCUUGAGAAAGAAGAAUGGAGCUGGAGGAAUCAGGCUCCCUAACUUCAGACUAUACUAUAAAGUUGCAGUAAUCAAAACAGUUUGGUACUGGCACAAAAACAGAACAAUGGUACAGGACAGAAAGCCCAGAAACAAACCCACACACCUAUGGUCAAUUAAUCUAUGACAAAGGAGGCAAGAAUAUACAAUGGAGAAAAGACAGUCUCUUCAAUAAGUGGUGCUGGGGAAACUGGACAGACACACGUAAAAGCUUGAAAUUAGAACAUUCUCUAAUACUAUAUACAAAAAUAAACUCAAAAUGGAUCAAAGACCUAAAUGUAAGAACAGAUACUAUAAAACUCCUAGAGGAAAACAUAGAACACUCUGACAUAAAUUGCAGCAAUAUCUUUUUGUAUCUGUCUCUCAGAGUAAUGGAAAUAAAAGCAAAAAUAAACAAAUGGGACCUGAUUAAACUUAAAAGCUUUUGCACAGCAAAGGAAAGCACAAACAAAAGACAUGAAAAGACAACCUCCAGAAUGGGAGAAAAUAUUCACAAACAAUGCGACUGACACCAGAUUAAUUUCCAAAAUAUACAAAUAGCUCAUAUAGCUCAAUAUCAGAAAACAACCCAAUCAAAAAAUGGGCAGAAGAUAUAAGAAACAAUUCUCCAAAGAUGACAUCCC